rnacentral:rRNA from 1 species
GAAUGAAAUACUGCUGUGUAGUGUAAAUAUCAAAGUUUGGAACUGCGAAUGGCUCAUUAUAUCAGUUAUAGUUUAUGAGGGAGUGUACUACUUGGAUAACCGUAGUAAUUCUAGGGCUAAAACAUGAGAAAGUCCUCUGGUGAGGUGUGUUUAUUAGAAUGAAAACCAUAUGCUUCGGCAUGAUAGUGAGUAAUAGUAACCUAUCGUAUCGCAUGCUUAAUGUAGCGAUGAGUCUUUCAAGUUUCUGCCCUAUCAGCUUUCGAUGGUAGUAUAUGGGCCUACCAUGGCAGUAACGGGUAACGAAGAA